rnacentral:rRNA from 1 species
AGGACGAACGCUGGCGGCGUGCCUAACACAUGCAAGUCGAGCGGAGAUGAUGUGAGGAAGUUUUCGGAUGGAAUCACAUUAUUUAGCGGCGGACGGGUGAGUAACGCGUGAGCGACCAACCUUGCACAGGGGGAUAACGGACCGAAAGGUUCACUAAUACCGCAUGAGACCACGGUGUUGCAUGACACAGAGGUCAAAGGAGAGAUCCGGUGCAAGACGGGCUCGCGUCCGAUUAGGUAGUUGGAGGGGUAACGGCCCACCAAGCCUAUGAUCGGUAGCCGACCUGAGAGGGUGAUCGGCCACAUUGGAACUGAGAUACGGUCCAAACUCCUACGGGAGGCAGCAGUGGGGAAUAUUGGGCCAAUGGGGGAAACCCUGACCCAGCAACGCCGCGUGAAGGAAGAAGGUUUUCGGAUUGUAAACUUCUGUCCUUGGUGAAGAGAAGAAGACGGUAGCCAAGGAGGAAGCCCCGGCUAACUACGUGCCAGCCGCCGC